rnacentral:rRNA from 1 species
GUACCCUGACCGUGCAAAGGUAGCGUAAUCAUUUGUUUUUUAAUUUAAGACCUGUAUGAACGACCCCACGAGAGUCACACUGUCUCCUCUUUCCUAUCAGUGAAACUAAUCUUCUCGUUCAAAAGCGAGAAUUAUUCUAUUAGACGAAAAGACCCUGUGGAGCUUUAAACAACCUAGCAUAUGUUUUUUACCUUCUUGCUUCUCGAAAAACAUAAUGACUUCUAGUUUUUGGUUGGGGUGACCCUGAAGGAAAACAAAUCCUUCAGAAUGAAUAAGAAUUUUCUUUAUCUUUAAGCCACAGCUUUUGGCAUCAACACAUUGACAUAAUUGACCCUUUUUGAUCAACGAACCAAGUUACCCCAGGGAUAACAGCGCCAUCCUUUUUGAGAGUACAUAUCGACAAAAGGGUUUACGACCUCGAUGUUGGAUCAGGAUAUCCUAGUGGUGU